AGUGAACGCUGGCGGUAGGCCUAACACAUGCCAGUCGAACGGCAGCACAGUAAGAGCUUGCUCUUACGGGUGGCGAGUGGCGGACGGGUGAGGAAUACAUCGGAAUCUACUUUUUCGUGGGGGAUAACGUAGGGAAACUUACGCUAAUACCGCAUACGACCUACGGGUGAAAGCAGGGGAUCUUCGGACCUUGCGCGUUUGAAUGAGCCGAUGUCGGAUUAGCUAGUUGGCGGGGUAAAGGCCCACCAAGGCGACGAUCCGUAGCUGGUCUGAGAGGAUGAUCAGCCACACUGGAACUGAGACACGGUACAGACUCCUACGGGAGGCAGCAGUGGGGAAUAUUGGACAAUGGGCGCAAGCCUGAUCCAGCCAUACCGCGUGGGUGAAGAAGGCCUUCGGGUUGUAAAGCCCUUUUGUUGGGAAAGAAAAGCAGCAGGUUAAUACCCCGCUGUUCUGACGGUACCCAAAGAAUAAGCACCGGCUAACUUCGUG
rnacentral:rRNA from 1 species